UACGUAGGGGGCAAGCGUUAUCCGGAUUUACUGGGUGUAAAGGGAGUGUAGGCGGCCACGCAAGUCAGAAGUGAAAGCCCGGGGCUUAACCCCGGGACUGCUUUUGAAACUGCGCGGCUUGAGUGCAGGAGAGGUAAGCGGAAUUCCUAGUGUAGCGGUGAAAUGCGUAGAUAUUAGGAAGAACACCGGUGGCGAAGGCGGCUUACUGGACUGAGACUGACGCUGAGGCUCGAAAGCGUGGGGAGCAAAC
rnacentral:rRNA from 1 species